GACGAACCGUGCGAACGUUACUCGGAAUCACUGGGCUUAAAGGGCGCGUAGGUGGCGGCGUAAGUAGGAAGUGAAAUACCAUCGGCUCAACCGUGGAACUGCUUCCUGUACUGCGCCGCUCGAGUGGGUGAGGGGCUCGCGGAACUGCCGGUGGAGUGGUGAAAUAUGUUGAUAUCGGCGGGAACGCCAGUGGCGAAAGCGGCGAGCUGGACCCCAACUGACACUGAGGCGCGAAAGCUAGGGUAGCGAACGGG
rnacentral:rRNA from 1 species